UCAACAUCUAUCAGGACACAUCCCCUUUCACUCAAGCUGCUAUGGAGCCCUUCAGCCGUUCCACCUCCCCAGCUGAGCAAAUGCUACCACAGAGCAGCUCUGAAAGAAGCCUCUCUGUUCCAAGUGUUUUACCAUCCAGAAAGUGGAAAUACUAGAUUUAUUGCUGGGACAAUAUAUUGAAUGCUCUCAAAGUCUGCUUCUAGAAGAAUCUCAUUUACGAGCUCCCUCCCCCCAAACUGACAUUGAGUAAGACCCAAGGACUUUGUCUGGCAUAGCUGGAUCUUGGGAGAAGGCACCAGACAUUGCCAUGGGUAGAGAAGGAUGAUAAGCAGGGUUGACUCUUCUGCCAGAGCACCAAGGCAUUUUCACCUUGAAUAUACUGAAUAGAUGAUCACUGGAAAAUCCAAGCCUGCGAAGGGAUUCCUCUGUUUUCCAGUCAGCUUGCCUGGGAGAUUAGAUGAUGACGACGACAUCAUUGUCUUCUUCUUCUUCUUCAUUUUUGCCCACCUGUGCAAGUCAUCCAGAGCUAUUUAUAUCUCAGGCACCUAUUUAUUCACUCCUGCUCUCAACUUUUCGUCCUAUGAUCUGAGCGAUGUAUGUUAACUUGCAAUAAUAAUAAUAAUAAAUUAUUUGAUGUUAGGAAUCAUGUUUUGAUCUUUGAUAUUUGAGGAGAGGGUUGCAAGCAGGUAAUCUUUAGUUUGAUACUAGACUUGUAAUUUGAUAAUAUCCUAAUUAAAGAGGCCUCAUAAUGCUCACAGAAGUGUUUUCCAUUAAAAUGCUACCUCCUUUCUACUCUCUAUUUUAAAAGCCAAAUGAAAUAU